ACAGUGGACGCGAGCAUCUGUGGCCAAGUUUUUAAGGGCGCACGGUGGAUGCCUUGGUACCAGGAACCGAUGAAGGACGUGGGAGGCCACGAUAGUCCCCGGGGAGUCGUCAACCAGGCUUUGAUCCGGGGGUUUCCGAAUGGGGAAACCCGGCAGUCGUCAUGGGCUGUCACCCACAUCUGAACACAUAGGGUGUGUGGAGGGAACGCGGGGAAGUGAAACAUCUCAGUACCCGCAGGAAGAGAAAACAACCGUGAUUCCGGGAGUAGUGGCGAGCGAAACCGGAUGAGGCCAAACCGUAUGCGUGUGAGACCCGGCAGGGGUUGCGCAUACGGGGUUGUGGGAUCUCUCUUCUGUCGUCUGCCGGCGACAGGACGAGUGAGAAACCGUUGAUGUAGGCGAAGGACAUGCGAAAGGUCCGGCGUAGAGGGUAAGACCCCCGUAGUCGAAACGUCAGCGGCUCGUUUGAGAGACACCCAAGUAGCACGGGGCCCGAGAAAUCCCGUGUGAAUCUGGCGGGACCACCCGCUAAGCCUAAAUAUUCCCUGGUGACCGAUAGCGGAUAGUACCGUGAGGGAAUGGUGAAAAGUACCGCGGGAGCGGAGUGAAAUAGUACCUGAAACCGUGUGCCUACAAGCCGUGGGAGCGUCGC
rnacentral:rRNA from 1 species